rnacentral:rRNA from 1 species
GACGAACGCUGGCGGCGUGCUUAACACAUGCAAGUCGAACGAUGAAGGAGGAGCUUGCUCCUCCGGAUUAGUGGCGAACGGGUGAGUAAUACGUGAGCAAUGUGCCCUUGACUCUGGGAUAAGCGCUGGAAACGGCGUCUAAUACCGGAUACGACCCUCUGAGGCAUCUACUGAUGGUGGAAAGAACUUCGGUCAAGGAUCAGCUCACGGCCUAUCAGCUAGUUGGUGAGGUAACGGCUCACCAAGGCGCCGACGGGUAGCCGGCCUGAGAGGGUGACCGGCCACACUGGGACUGAGACACGGCCCAGACUCCUACGGGAGGCAACAGUCGUGAAUAUUGCACAAUGGGCGCAAGCCUGAUGCAGCAACGCCGCGUGAGGGACGAAGGCCUUCGAGUUGUAAACCUCUUUUAGCAGGGAAGAAGCGAAAGUUACGGUACCUGCAGAAAAAGCACCGGCUAACUACGUGCCAGCCGCCGCUGUAACAC